UACAGAGGGGGCAAGCGUUAUUCGGAAUUAUUGGGCGUAAAGGGCGCGUAGGCGGCUUCGCAAGUGGAAGGUGAAAUCCCUCGGCUUAACCGAGGAACUGCCCCUCCAAACUGCGUUGCUUGAGGCCGGGAGAGGUGAGUGGAAUUCCCAGUGUAGCGGUGAAAUGCGUAGAUAUUGGGAGGAACACCAGUGGCGAAGGCGGCUCACUGGACCGGUUCUGACGCUGAUGCGCGAAAGCGUGGGGAGCAAACGGG
rnacentral:rRNA from 1 species